rnacentral:lncRNA from 1 species
AUUAACUCAUCUAUUUAAUAUUAAUUAUUUUAUUAUGAGGUAAAUUUGUGAAUCCCCAUUUUUCAUUGCAUAUUUAUAUUGCUCAUAAAAAAUGAGGAACAUUUUUUUAGAAUUGUUGAUAGUUGGUGUUCAUCAUUAUCAAGGCCUUUCAUUACUGAUGGAAUGUUAGCUGCUCUUACGCAGAGCUCUCUGAUUCACUUAUUAUGGCGAAUCACUCUGCAUUCUUCUUGUGUAUUGUCAAAGUUUAUUGUAUGACUUGGCUUUAGUUACAAUUUUCUUUCACUCAUUUCUAUAUUUGCAUAUUGGUUCCUCCUGUUUCUCACUUUUAGGAUUUUGAUAUCUCUCAUGACCUGGUCCUCCCAUCUCUCUCUGGGUCUUCUCCUUGGUGUUUUAGUUUCUGGCUUUCAUCUGGUGAUCUUUUUAAUCAGUAGGCCAUUUUCUUUCUCUCUAUGUGUCCAGACCUUCUCAGUCUCUGGGCUUUAAGAUUGAAAUUAUGGAUACAGUAACCUGUAAGCACGCUUGUUGCUCUCAAGAAAAGUUGACUUCAAACUGUUUAAUUUUUUAUAUACGUCAAAUUUUACCACAGUAGGACGGUGUGGUAUGUAAGCGACAACCAUUGUUGCGGUGUGCCACCUGUAUUAAAAUAUUUUAACUUAGUAAACAUCAUUUUGAGUAUGAGAUUUCAACAGCAGUGUUGUAGUGCCGACGUUGAUAGUUAAAUAUAAACAAAUCGGUAAGUAAAAAUAUGUAUUUUGCUGUAAUAUUUUCAGAAUACAUUUAGGAAAGGUAUAUUUAUAAUCUAAAAGAUACAGUUACUUUCUGUUUUGAGAAGUUUUAGCGAAAACUUCACCUAAAAAGUAUGUUGCUUAAAAUCAACAUUGACGCUAAGUGGUAAUCGUAAAAACAUAAAUUUUCUUUUCAGGAAUAUGGAUAUUCCUCCUCUUACGUGUUAUGAAAAAAAUGAGCUACAUAGUUCCUGUUAUAGCAGAUAUAUCAGAUACAGAAAAUUCGGGAGGUGAAUAUUAUGAAAUGCAAAUAGGUAGAACUAAAUAUACGUAGUUGGUAAUAGAAGGAUCUGAUAUUGAGCAAGAAGAAAUACAUUUGGAAGAGCCACAACCCAAGAAAAUGAAAAUACCUUAUAAAUAUUAUACCAAUACCUUAAAAAAUUUAAAAUGGACAUAGCUGAAUUGUUUUUCCAAACAGGUAAAAUAAGAAAGAAGGGCGGUCUUCACUGAACGAGACUGCCGAAAAAAUUGUAACUCCUACGAAAAGUCGACCACAUGACAUCACUAGAAAGACAAAAUUUCAUAACUCUCCAUAAAUUUUUAUCUUUAUUUUUUAUUGUAACUUUGUAAGUAUUAAAGUUCAAGUUUGCUUA